AAGCUUGCUUCUCUGAUGUUAGCGGCGGACGGGUGAGUAACACGUGGAUAACCUACCUAUAAGACUGGGAUAACUUCGGGAAACCGGAGCUAAUACCGGAUAAUAUUUUGAACCGCAUGGUUCAAAAGUGAAAGACGGUCUUGCUGUCACUUAUAGAUGGAUCCGCGCUGCAUUAGCUAGUUGGUAAGGUAACGGCUUACCAAGGCAACGAUGCAUAGCCGACCUGAGAGGGUGAUCGGCCACACUGGAACUGAGACACGGUCCAGACUCCUACGGGAGGCAGCAGUAGGGAAUCUUCCGCAAUGGGCGAAAGCCUGACGGAGCAACGCCGCUUGAGUGAUGAAGGUCUCCGGAUCGUAGAACUCUGUUAUUAGGGAAGAACAUAUGUGUAAGUAACUGUGCACAUCUUGACGGUACCUAAUCAGAAAGCCACGGCUAACUACGUGCCAGCAGCCGCGGUUAUACGUAGGUGGCAAGCGUUAUCCGGAAUUAUUGGGCGUAAAGCGCGCGUAGGCGGUUUUUUAAGUCUUGAUGUGAAAGCCCACGGCUCAACCGUGGAGGGUCAUUGGAAACUGGAAAACCUGAGUGCAGAAGAGGAAAGUGGAAUUCCAUGUGUAGCGGUGAAAUGCGCAGAGAUAUGGAGGAACACCAGUGGCGAAGGCGACUUUCUGGUCUGUAACUGACGCUGAUGUGCGAAAGCGUGGGGAUCAAACAGGAUUAGAUAACCUGGUAGUCCACGCCGUAAACGAUGAGUGCUAAGUGUUAGGGGGUUUCCGCCCCUUAGUGCUG
rnacentral:rRNA from 1 species